AAAUGCGAUACUUGGUGUGAAUUGCAGAAUCCCGUGAACCAUCGAGUCUUUGAACGCAAGUUGCGCCCGAAGCCAUUAGGCCGAGGGCACGUCUGCCUGGGUGUCACACAACGUUGCCCAUCCGCCCUUGUCCCUCGCACGAGGGCUUCGUGGGAUGGGCGGA
rnacentral:rRNA from 1 species